rnacentral:tRNA from 1 species
CGCAAUCGUUGUAGUAUAAUGGUAAGUAUUGCCGCCUAUCACGCGGGUGACCCGGGUUCGAUCCCCCGCAACGGCGC